rnacentral:tRNA from 1 species
GGGAGAGCGGUGAUGAUGGUGGAAUCACGGCGGACUGUAAAUCCGUUACAUUAGAAACGUUGCAGGUUCGACUCCUGCCUCUCUCA